UGACGUCCUUCAAAUGCUUUGAUUACACACCUGUGGUAAAAUAUGAAUUUAUUGUUUGGGCUGUUCCUAUCGUACUCCCACGUCAUAUGCUUUUUUAUGAAUGAGCUACCCGACGUCAUAGAACGUUGACCUCAGAAUAUAAGCAUUUUACAGGAAAAUACAUGCUUGUGAAACCGAAAAUCAUCACAAAAAGUAAACAUAAACAAACGAUGCUAAAAUGUGGAAUAAGCCAUUUUUUUAACAUAUAAGACAUGUUAAUUAUCAUUUAAACUCAUCUAAAACUAUCUAAAUACGUUAUUGUAAAUGUUAAGCAAAUUCACUAAU
rnacentral:lncRNA from 1 species